rnacentral:rRNA from 1 species
AGACGGCUGCUGGAAUGCUCUGUCUCUGAAAGGUCUGCCGCCUGAGGAUGAGUCUGCGUCCGAUUAGGUUGUUGUUGGGGUAACGGCCCACCAAGCCUUUGAUCGGUACGGGUUGUGGUAGCAAGAGCCCGGAGAUGGAUUCUGAGACAUGAAUCCAGGCCCUACGGGGCGCAGCAGGCGCGAAAACUUUACAAUGCGAGCAAUCGUGAUAAGGAAACCCUGAGUGCCUGUUAUCACAGGCUGUUCUGGUGUCUAACCCACACCAGGAGAA